GGAUGUGAGGGCAAUCUGGCUUGUGACAUCUGUCACCCCAUUGAUCACCAGGUUUGGUGUGGCUGAUCUGGCUGGCUAGGCGCGCGUCCCCUUCCUCCCUCACCACUCCAUGUGCGUCCCUCCCAGAGCUGUGCGCUUGGUCGAAGAAGUCCCCGAUAGAGAAGGACUGUUCUUUGGUCAAAGGUGUACCAGUAUUUGUGCUUCCCUCUAGAACCUCCAAAAAACAAGCUGUCAAAAGGAGGAGGAGGAGCAGAAGGAGGAGGAAGU
rnacentral:snRNA from 1 species